rnacentral:rRNA from 1 species
AUGCAGUCGAACGGCAGCACGGAGCUUGCUCUGGUGGCGAGUGGCGAACGGGUGAGUAAUAUAUCGGAACGUACCCUAGAGUGGGGGAUAACGUAGCGAAAGUUACGCUAAUACCGCAUACGAUCUAAGGAUGAAAGUGGGGGAUCGCAAGACCUCAUGCUCGUGGAGCGGCCGAUAUCUGAUUAGCUAGUUGGUAGGGUAAAAGCCUACCAAGGCAUCGAUCAGUAGCUGGUCUGAGAGGACGACCAGCCACACUGGAACUGAGACACGGUCCAGACUCCUACGGGAGGCAGCAGUGGGGAAUUUUGGACAAUGGGCAAAAGCCUGAUCCAGCAAUGCCGCGUGAGUGAAGAAGGCCUUCGGGUUGUAAAGCUCUUUUGUCAGGGAAGAAACGGUGAAAGCUAAUAUCUUUUGCUAAUGACGGUACCUGAAGAAUAAGCACCGGCUAACUACGUGCCAGCAGCCGCGGUAAUACGUAGGGUGCAAGCGUUAAUCGGAAUUACUGGGCGUAAAGCGUGCGCAGGCGGUUUUGUAAGUCUGAUGUGAAAUCCCCGGGCUCAACCUGGGAAUUGCAUUGGAGACUGCAAGGCUAGAAUCUGGCAGAGGGGGGUAGAAUUCCACGUGUAGCAGUGAAAUGCGUAG